GCUGACCCUUCCCAGGGAGGUCACCCAGAGUGACUGUGGGUGGGUCCUGUACCGGACAGUGGCCGGGCAGCCUGCGGGUGGCCGGGUGAGCUCCACGUCCUGCUCUGUUCUCUGUUUGGUUUGGGUUCCUGUGUGUGUGUGUGUCUGUGUGUGUCCCUGUGUGUCUGUGUCCCUGUGUGUCUGCAUGUGUGUCUGUCUGUGUGUGUGUUUGUGUGUGCGUGUCUGUUUGUGUGUCUGUGUAUAUCUGUAUGUGCCUGUGUGUGUCUGACUGUGUGUCUGUGUGUGUGUGAGUCUGUGUGUGCAUGUGUCUGUGUGUGCAUGUGUGCCUCUGUGUGUGCGUGUGUGUCUGCGUGUCUGUGUGUGUGUGUCUCUAUGUGCGUGUCUGUCUGUGUCUGUGUGUCUCUGUUCUGUGUGUGCAUGUCUAUGUGUCUGUGUGUGCAUGUUUGUGUGUCUGUGUCUGUGUGUCUGUGUGUGCAUGUCUGUGUGUCUGUCUCUGUGUGUCUGUGUCUGUCUGUGUGUCUGUGUGUGUGUGUGUGCACGUACGUGUGUGUGUGUGCACCCUAAGGAAGCAUAGCUGUGAGGAGUAGAGAUGGUGUCUGGAGAGACUCUGACAUCAAGGUCCAGCUCAGGCACUCAGGGCUGGGCCCCAAAGCACCCAGGCUGGAGGGCUGGCCACGGGUCCCCACUCACAGCUGUUGUGCCGCCUCAUCCAGGGGGCACAGCACAGCCCUGCCUCCGAGGCGCAGACAGGCCUGCACAAGGCCAGCACCAACCCAGCCUCCCUCCAGGCAGGGGCCCUCAGACCCACGGACCCGCCUGAGCUUCUGCCAGGAGUGGGCCGUCGCAGGCUCCCAGGUCCCCUGCACCCCUCUGCCUCACUCUGCUCCUCACCCAGAGGUAGUGACGGGAGCCACUGCCCCUGAGCCUCUAAGGAAAGCAUGGCCUUGUGUCCUCCAGUCCCCAGGGGGACACCCCUUUCACAGAAGAGGCUCCGCUGCUUGCCCACUGCCUGGCUCUUUGCCAACGUGAAGGGCUGCUCUCCUCCAGGCUGGGUGGACACGGG
rnacentral:lncRNA from 1 species